rnacentral:rRNA from 1 species
UACGUAGGGAGCAAGCGUUGUCCGGAAUCAUUGGGCGUAAAGCGCGCGUAGGCGGCCCUGUAAGUCCGCUGUGAAAGUCACAGGCUCAACCUGUGAAUGCCGCUGGAAACUGUCUGGCUAGAGUCCGGAAGGGGCGAGUGGAAUUCCUGGUGUAGCGGUGAAAUGCGCAGAUAUCAGGAGGAACACCUAUGGCGAAGGCAGCUCGCUGGGACGGUACUGACGCUGAGGCGCGAAAGCGUGGGGAGCGAACAGG